AUUGAACGCUGGCGGCAGGCUUAACACAUGCAAGUCGAACGCGUGGCGGACGGGUGAGUAAUGCUUGGGCAUCUAGCUUAUGGAGGGGGAUAACUACGGGCAACUGUAGCUAAUACCGCGUACCAUAGGAUGAGCCCAAGUGGGAUUAGGUAGUUGGUGAGGUAAAGGCUCCCCAAGCCGACGAUCUCUAGCUGGUCUGAGAGGAUGCCCAGCCAAACUGGGACUGAGACACGGCCCAGACGCCUACGGGAGGCAGAAGUGGGGAAUAUUGCGCAAUGGGGGCAACCUGACGCAGCCAUGCCGCGUGAAUGAAGAAGGCCUUCGGGUUGUAAAGUUCUUUCGGUAGCGAGGCGUUAACUACAGAAGAAGCACCGGCUAACACCGUGCCAGCAGCCGCGGUAAUUC
rnacentral:rRNA from 1 species